GAUGAACGCUGGCGGCGUGCCUAAUACAUGCAAGUCGAGCGAACAGACGAGGAGCUUGCUCCUCUGACGUUAGCGGCGGACGGGUGAGUAACACGUGGAUAACCUACCUAUAAGACUGGGAUAACUUCGGGAAACCGGAGCUAAUACCGGAUAACAUGUUGAACCGCAUGGUUCAACAGUGAAAGACGGUCUUGCUGUCACUUAUAGAUGGAUCCGCGCCGCAUUAGCUAGUUGGUAAGGUAACGGCUUACCAAGGCAACGAUGCGUAGCCGACCUGAGAGGGUGAUCGGGCACACGGGAACUGAGACACGGUCCAGACUCCUACGGGAGGCAGCAGUAGGGAAUCUUCCGCAAUGGGCGAAAGCCUGACGGAGCAACGCCGCGUGAGUGAAGAAGGUCUUCGGAUCGUAAAACUCUGUUAUUAGGGAAGAACAAAUGUGUAAGUAACUAUGCACGUCUUGACGGUACCUAAUCAGAAAGCCACGGCUAACUACGUG
rnacentral:rRNA from 1 species